CUGGUGCAAAAAUGAAUAAAUAAAGAUAGAGAAAGAAAGGAAUAAAUCAAGGCAGGCUGCAUCCUGUGCAUUUCUGGCAAGAGCAGCCUGCAAUCCCAUCACCUGGGAGACAACCAGGGACUGGCACUGCUGCUGUGCCAGGGAACGAGAGGCUUUGUCAGGAACCUGAGGGGUGGCUGUGCUUGGAUCCCUCUGCACUGAGGAGGCAACAGAGCCCAGGCAAGGAAAUGAGGAGCAGCAGAGAAGGUUCCAAGGUCGUGCUGAGCAAUCCUCCCCGUGCUGGGGAUGUGAUCAUGGAAUUCUGUGCAAUUAAAAUGACGCCUCCCCCAGAAGCCUCUCUCUGCUUUUCCAGCUGUUUGUCCUCUUCUCUGGGCAGCAACUUGCUGCUCAUAAAUUGUGCUGUGCAAAUAGAAUAUCAUGAAUCAACGGAUCCAAUUUAAUCGAGUUUAAACCCACAUUUUCACUGAGGAAUCCCUAACCCUGUUUAAUUGAGAGAAGUGAGGAGGUUUGAUCCCUUGACCCUUAGAUAUCACAAAUGGAAAAUGUUGCAGUUCAUAGUGCUGAUAUCCAGCAGAAAUGCUCAGAAUCUGGGAAAUAAAUGAGAAAAGCAAAAAAAAAAAA